rnacentral:rRNA from 1 species
GAUCCUGGCUCAGAUUGAACGCUGGCGGCAUGCUUUACACAUGCAAGUCGAACGGUAACAGGCCUUCGGGUGCUGACGAGUGGCGAACGGGUGAGUAAUGUAUCGGAACGUGCCCAGUAGUGGGGGAUAGCCCGGCGAAAGCCGGAUUAAUACCGCAUGAGAACUGAGGUUGAAAGCGGGGGACCUUCGGGCCUCGCGCUACUGGAGCGGCUGAUAUCAGAUUAGGUAGUUGGUGGGGUAAAGGCUCACCAAGCCUGCGAUCUGUAGCUGGUCUGAGAGGACGACCAGCCACACUGGGACUGAGACACGGCCCAGACUCCUACGGGAGGCAGCAGUGGGGAAUUUUGGACAAUGGGCGCAAGCCUGAUCCAGCAAUGCCGCGUGCAGGACGAAGGCCUUC